GUGGGGAAUAUUGCACAAUGGGCGAAAGCCUGAUGCAGCAACGCCGCGUGAGGGACGACGGCCUUCGGGUUGUAAACCUCUUUUAGAAGGGAAGAAGCGAAAGUGGCGGUACCUGCAGAAAAAGUACCGGCUAACUACGUGCCAGCAGCGGCGGUAAUUCGUAGGGUGCAAGCGUUAUCCGGAAUUAUUGGGCGUAAAGAGCUCGUAGGCGGUCUGUCGCGUCUGCUGUGAGAACUGGAGGAUCAACCGCGAGACUGCAGUGGGUACGGGCAGACUAGAGUGCGGUAGGGGAGAUUGGAAUUCCUGGUGUAGCGGUGGAAUGCGCAGAUAUCAGGAGGAACACCGAUGGCGAAGGCAGAUCUCUGGGCCGUAACUGACGCUGAGGAGCGAAAGCGUGGGGAGCGAACAGGAUUAGAUACCCCAGUAGUCC
rnacentral:rRNA from 1 species